AUGAUACUACUGUGUCAAUAUUGGAGCGCAGAGACAAUAGGUGCUUUCAUUGCCAGGAAAGAACAAAUGCAAAGGGAAGAUGUGGCUUUUAUUUAUUUGUACCAACCAACACUUUCUCAGCUCAGAAUAACCCCAGGCCUUUCUGUACUUAAAAAAAGCCAACAAAACCCACACACGCACACAAAACCCACAAAUAAACAAACAAAAACCCCACAACUUUUACAACUCAAGAGAAAAAAAAAGAGAGAGGGAGGGUAAUGAAGGUAAUGAGUAGUUUCAUUCUUUUAGAAAGCAUGCUUUUAAGCUCUGAUAACACAAUAACAGCCUUCUAAAAUUUUCAUGCUGGGAAAGAACUACCACAGAUGCUUCCUUAUACACCCACUUUUCUUUACAGCAAUGUGGGAUUGAGGUUUGUUUUUUUCUCUGCUAAACCUUAUACAUCUCUCCCUACCCUGGGAUACCCUGGUCUCCAGAGUAUUUGAAAACUACUAAUGGAGCAGAUAUAUAGAAAGCUGAGGGACAGGAACAGUCAUAUUGAAUAAGACUAGUGACCCAUCUAACACUGUAUUUUGGUUUGAGUGAACCAUAUCAGGUGCUGCAGAGAGAUGAGCAAUGUGCUCUCCUAACAGAGAACUGCAUAUUGACCUGCCAACCUAUGAAGUUUCUCCACAGCAUCAAACAACCUGGUUCCUGCUCUUAUCAUGGAACUGGAGGAUCUGCUCUCUUCUCCCUCACUUCCACUUGCAGAUCAGUUAUGUCUUACAAGCUGGAAUUUUAACAAAUAUGGAUAUGUAAUUUUUAUGUCUUUUUUUAACUUCAUAACAGUCAUUGCAUGAAACACAUUGCACGAUGGUGGCAUGCAAAAAGAACUGCUUUUUUCUGAAGACAAACCACCAGCUGAUCUGUUGAGUUAUCAAUGACCCAUGUCCUGCAGCCUUCACCUCCCUGCAAGCACCUGAGCACCCACAGCCCCCCAUCCAGGUCCACUCAGCAGCCUGCAUCCAGCUGGUGCCCCCCAGCUGGUAUGGGAAUGUGGGAGCACCAUUGUUGACAAAGACCUGUGAGGACAAAUGAAGUCUUGCCGGGGAGCUGCUUCAUAAAGCUUCUAAUAAAAUCUGUGGGAAGAGGAGACA
rnacentral:lncRNA from 1 species